CAGCCGUAAACUAUGCUCGCUAGGUGUCAGGGACGGUGCGACCGUUUCUGGUGCCGCAGGGAAGCCGUGAAGCGAGCCACCUGGGAAGUACGGUCGCAAGGCUGAAACUUAAAGGAAUUGGCGGGGGAGCACUACAACGGGUGGAGCCUGCGGUUUAAUUGGAUUCAACGCCGGAAAUCUUACCGGGACCGACAGCAACAUGAAGGCCAGGCUGAAGACUUUGCCGGAUUAGCUGAGAGGUGGUGCAUGGCGUAGACGUCU
rnacentral:rRNA from 1 species